rnacentral:rRNA from 1 species
GAAGACCAAGGGUUCCUGUCCAACGUUAAUCGGGGCAGGGUAAGUCGACCCCUAAGGCGAGGCCGAAAGGCGUAGUCGAUGGGAAACGGGUUAAUAUUCCCGUACUUCUUACAAUUGCGAUGGGGGGACGGAGAAGGCUAGGUGGGCCUGGCGACGGUUGUCCAGGUUCAAGUGCGUAGGCUUAAGAGUUAGGUAAAUCCGGCUCUUUUUAAGGCUGAGACACGACGUCGAGCUACUACGGUAGUGAA